rnacentral:rRNA from 1 species
AAGACUUGACAUGCAAGUGAAUGAGAUAGAGAUAUCGAAGCCUUUCGGGGCACUUGUGCAGGUGGUGCAUGGUUGUCGUCAGCUCGUGUCGUGAGAUGUUGGGUUAAGUCCCGCAACGAGCGCAACCCCUGUUGUUAGUUGCCAUCAUUAAGUUGGGCACUCUAACGAGACUGCCGGUGAUAAAUCGGAGGAAGGUGGGGAUGACGUCAAAUCAUCAUGCCCUAUAUGUCUUGGGCAACACACGUACUACAAUGGCCGUGACAGAAAGAAGCGAGACAGUGAUGUGGAGCAAAUCUAUAAAAAGCGGUCGUAGUUCGGAUUGUAGGCUGAAACUCGCCUACAUGAAGUUGGAAUUGCUAGUAAUUGCAGGUCAGCAUACUGCAGUGAAUACGUUCCCGGGCC